rnacentral:rRNA from 1 species
UACGAAGGGUGCAAGCGUUACUCGGAAUUACUGGGCGUAAAGCGUGCGUAGGUGGUUAUUUAAGUCCGUUGUGAAAGCCCCUGGGCUCAACCUGGGACUGCAGUGGAUACUGGAUGACUAGAAUGUGGUAGAGGGUAGCGGAAUUCCUGGUGUAGCAGUGAAAUGCGUAGAGAUCAGGAGGAACAUCCAUGGCGAAGGCAGCUACCUGGACCAACAUUGACACUGAGGCACGAAAGCGUGGGGAGCAAACAGGAUUAGAUACCCGGGUAGUCC